rnacentral:rRNA from 1 species
GGUAAUGGCCCACCAAGGCGACGAUCGGUAGCUGGUCUGAGAGGAUGAUCAGCCACACUGGGACUGAGACACGGCCCAGACUCCUGCGGGAGGCAGCAGUGGGGAAUAUUGGACAAUGGGCGAAAGCCUGAUCCAGCCAUGCCGCGUGGGUGAAGAAGGCCUUCGGGUUGUAAAGCCCUUUUGUUGGGGAAGAAAUCCUGCUGGCUAAUACCCGGCGGGGAUGACGGUACCCAAAGAAUAAGCACCGGCUAACUUCGUGCCAGCAGCCGCGGUAAUACGAAGGGUGCAAGCGUUACUCGGAAUUACUGGGCGUAAAGCGUGCGUAGGUGGUUCGCUAAGUCUGAUGUGAAAGCCCUGGGCUCAACCUGGGAACUGCAUUGGAUACUGGCGGGCUAGAGUGCGGUAGAGGGCAGUGGAAUUCCUGGUGUAGCAGUGAAAUGCGUAGAGAUCAGGAGGAACACCCGUGGCGAAGGCGACUGCCUGGACCAGUACUGACACUGAGGCACGAAAGCGUGGGGAGCAAACAGGAUUAGAUACCCUGGUAGUCCACGCCCUAAACGAUGCGAACUGGAUGUUGGGUUCAAUCGGGAACUCAGUAUCGAAGCUAACGCGUUAAGUCGCCGC